rnacentral:ncRNA from 1 species
UUCUUAUAUGUGAUUAAAUACUUGUAUUUUUUCAUAUGUUCCUCCUAUUUAAAAACCUGCACUAGUGCUCUUAAACGAGUGUUAUUGUGGGCCGGUACUAUUACUUUGAACAAAUUAGAGUGCUUAAAGCAGGCUUCAAAUGCCUGAAUAUUCUGUGCAUGGGAUAAUGAAAUAAGACCUCUGUUCUGCUUUCAUUGGUUUUCAGAUCAAGAGGUAAUGAUUAAUAGAAGCAGUUUGGGGGCAUUAGUAUUACGACGCGAGAGGUGAAAUUCUUGGACCGUCGUAAGACUAACUUAAGCGAAAGCAUUUGCCAAAGAUGUUUUCAUUAAUCAAGAACGAAAGUUAGAGGUUCGAAGGCGAUCAGAUACCGCCCUAGUUCUAACCAUAAACGAUGCCAGCUAGCAAUUGGGUGUAGCUACUUUUAUGGCUCUCUCAGUCGCUUCCCGGGAAACCAAAGCUUUUGGGCUCCGGGGGAAGUAUGGUUGCAAAGCUGAAACUUAAAGGAAUUGACGGAAGGGCACCACCAGGAGUGGAGCCUGCGGCUUAAUUUGACUCAACACGGGAAAACUUACCAGGUCCGAACAUAAGUGUGUAAGACAGAUUGAUAGCUCUUUCUCGAAUCUAUGGGUGGUGGUGCAUGGCCGUUCUUAGUUCGUGGAGUGAUUUGUCUGGGUUAAUUCCGAUAACGAACGAGACUCAAAUAUAUUAAAUAGAUAUCUUCAGGAUUAUGGUGCUGAAGCUUAUGUAGCCUUCAUUCAUGGUGGCAGUAAAAUGUUUAUUGUGUUUGAAUGUGUUUAUGUAAGUGGAGCCGUACCUGUUGGUUUGUCCCAUAUAAGGACACUAGCUUCUUAAUGGGACAAAUUGCGUCUAGCAUAAUGAGAUUGAGCAUAACAGGCUGUGAUGCCCUUAGAUGUCCGGGGCUGCUCCCCCGUACAAUGAAAAGUAUCAAAGUGUAUUUCCUAAGACCGAGAAGUCCGCGGCAAACCCCUGAAGCAACUUUCUGCGCUGGGGGAUGGUGAGCGGAACUGUUCCCAUGAACCUGGAAGUCGCAAGACGUCUGGAGGCUUAGACUGCCUUGAAUAAACCCCUGCCCCCUCUUGGACACUAC